rnacentral:ncRNA from 1 species
UUAUUUUACUUAUUCUAUGGGGCGGAGAUGGGGCAUUGCCCCUAUUUUUGGCCUUAAGACACGUUUCAACGGGUCGAUCCGGGUGGAAGACAUUGUCAAGUGGGGAGUUUGGUUGGGGCAGCACAUUUGUUAAAAGAUAACGUAGGUGUCCUAAGAUGAGCUCAAUGAGAGCAGAAAUCUCGUGUGGAACAAAAGGGUAAAAUCUCAUUUGAUUUUGAUUUUCAGUACGAAUAAAAACCUUGAAAGCAUGGCCUAUCGAUCCUUUAUACUUUUGGAAUUUGAAGCUAGAGGUGUCAGAAAAGUUUCCACAAGGAUAACUAGCUUGUGGCAGCCAAGCAUUCAUAGCGAUGUUGCUUUUUGAUCCUUCGAUGUCGGCUCUUCCUAUCAUUGUGAAGCAUAAUUCACCAAGUGUUGGAUUGUUCACCCACCAAUAGGGAACGUGAGUUGGGUUUAGACCGUCGUGAUACAGGUUAGUUUUACCCUACUAAUGAACCGCAUCACAAUAGUAAUUCAACUUAGUUCGAGAGGAACCAUUGAUUCACACAAUUGGUCAUCGUGCUUGGUUGAAAAUCCAGUGGCGUGAAGCUACCGUGUGUCGAAUUAUGACUGAACGCCUCUAAGUGAGAAUCCAUUCUAGAAGCGGUGCUUGUCACUCCUCGACUAUAUCUUGACCCAUAGUAGGGGUGUGUCUUUGGUACCCCCAGGGGCCCAUGUCACUUGCGAACCUCGGUUGGGAAGCGUCUCAGUCGGGGCAACUUUGAAGUUCAAUUUCUAAUGGUCGUUGAGAAGAAUCCUUUGCAGACAAAUUAAAUACGCGAUGAGGUAUUGUAAGUGGAAGAGUGGCCUUGCUGCCAUGAUCCACUGAGAUUCAACCCUUCCUUGCCUCGAUUCAG